AGUGUGUGUUGAGGAUGUUCAAGAAUUUGUUUUUACCUUUUGAGCGAGAUGGGGAGCAUUAAGCGAAUGCUUGAGGCUAUUUGGAGUUCAAUUCAGUCACAGGGAUUAUCUUGUAUUAUUUCACAAGGUUGUUGAGGAGUUGGUUUUCAACAACCUCGAGGCUGGUGCCACCAAGGUAUUAAUUUACCCUUUCAAAGUUUCACU
rnacentral:lncRNA from 1 species